AUUUAUAUAGUUUAAAAUAAAACCUUACAUUUUCACUGUAAAAAUAAAUAUAUUAUUUUAUAAAUA
rnacentral:tRNA from 1 species